AGUGAACGCUGGCGGUAGGCCUAACACAUGCAAGUCGAACGGCAGCACAGUAAGAGCUUGCUCUUACGGGUGGCGAGUGGCGGACGGGUGAGGAAUACAUCGGAAUCUACUUUUUCGUGGGGGAUAACGUAGGGAAACUUACGCUAAUACCGCAUACGACCUACGGGUGAAAGCAGGGGAUCUUCGGACCUUGCGCGAUCGAAUGAGCCGAUGUCGGAUUAGCUAGUUGGCGGGGUAAAGGCCCACCAAGGCGACGAUCCGUAGCUGGUCUGAGAGGAUGAUCAGCCACACUGGAACUGAGACACGGUCCAGACUCCUACGGGAGGAAGCAGUGGGGAAUAUUGGACAAUGGGCGCAAGCCUGCUCCAGCUAUACCGCGUGGGUGAAGAAGGCCUUCGGGUUGUAAAGCCCUUUUGUUGGGAAAGAAAAGCAGCAGGUUAAUACCCCGCUGUUCUGACGGUACCCAAAGAAUAAGCACCGGCUAACUUCGUG
rnacentral:rRNA from 1 species